rnacentral:RNase_P_RNA from 1 species
CCGAAAGGGCGAACCGGGAGGGGAGGAAAGUCCGGGCAACGCAGGGCGCCGCACUGGUGAAACUGCCAGCCGGACGUAAGUUCGUGCAUCCGUAACAGAGAAUAACCGCCGCAACCGCGCGUUUCCUUUCGGGGAAACCGGCCAGGCAAGGGUGAAAAGGUGGGGUAAGAGCCCACCGGUGCCGGUGGCGACAUCGGCAGCCGUACGGACUGCGGGUUGCAAGACCAUGUACACCGAUGCUGUUCCGUACCGGGAUUCCGAUCCGGGUACGGCACUGAAGGGCGGCCCGUCCGAGUCGGGGGGUAGGUUGCUGACGAUCCGGCGGGAGACCGCCGGGCUGGAUAAAUGGCAGAGGCUUUUCCGAAAAAGACAGGGUAUCGCUUUGCGCGGUCCGUCCCGGCCGGAAAAGUACAGAACCCGGCUUAUACCCCUUG